rnacentral:tRNA from 1 species
GGGGCUUUAGCUUAAUUAAAGUGUCUGAGUUGCAUUCAGAGGAUGUGAGGUAGCUUCUUGCAGGUCCCA